GGAGUCGCAAUGCUGUCGAGUACUCUGCUUUUGAGGGUACACGGGUGUACUGUACUCUUUUGUCCUUUUGUGGAUGCAUGGGUGUACUGUACUCUUUUGUCUUUUGUGGCAUAAGUGCCUUCACGUGGGCAGAGUCAGAAGUCGUCAGACUGCAUUGAUCACGGGCGCACAAUAACUCUUGGGUAGGUGGUAGUUGCAACUCUCGGCUAUAAAUAGGUCCAUCUGGAU
rnacentral:lncRNA from 1 species